GCUGUGGCCCCACUCCACAAGCCGCAAUUAGAACAGCGAUCCUGAAGGGAGAGCAGAGUCCAUCUGCGACAGACCCUGUGGGCGCUCAGACUGGGGCCGUUUGCACGUCCUGAUGGAGACACACACAUGAGAGGAGGGAAAGGCCCCACCCGCCUGAUACCCAACCAAGUGGGCUCGUCUCCUGAAUGCAGCUCUUUGUGGAAUGAAGGAAGGAAGGAAGGAUAAAGGGAGACACAGUCCACACAGGCACAGACGGAACAGCCUAGCCUCCGCGGUUCCCUCCGUGGGGACUGGCCCCGAACAAGGGACUCACACCCCGUCAGAGAAGCUGUCGGAGCGGGCGCAUGACCCUUCCUGAAGCUCCGUCUGUGGCCUUGACCCUGCACUGGAUACACAUCAUUUCUAAUUCAACCCGAAUCGCACGUAUGGAGGAGCCGGGGAGCCCGGCC